rnacentral:tRNA from 1 species
GUCGGGGUGGCAGAGUCUGGUCUAUCGCGGUGGCUUGCUAAGCCAUUGAGGGCGCAACGCUCUCACCCGGGUUCAAAUCCCGGCCCCGGCG